rnacentral:rRNA from 1 species
UACGUAGGUGGCAAGCGUUGUCCGGAAUUAUUGGGCGUAAAGCGCGCGCAUGCGGUCCUUUAAGUCUGAUGUGAAAGCCCACGGCUCAACCGUGGAGGGUCAUUGGAAACUGGGGGACUUGAGUACAGAAGAGAAGAGUGGAAUUCCACGUGUAGCGGUGAAAUGCGUAGAGAUGUGGAGGAACACCAGUGGCGAAGGCGACUCUUUGGUCUGUAACUGACGCUGAGGCGCGAAAGCGUGGGGAGCAAACAGG